GAUGAACGCUGGCGGCGUGCCUAAUACAUGCAAGUCGAGCGAAUGGAUUGAGAGCUUGCUCUCAAGAAGUUAGCGGCGGACGGGUGAGUAACACGUGGGUAACCUGCCCAUAAGACUGGGAUAACUCCGGGAAACCGGGGCUAAUACCGGAUAAUAUUUUGAACUGCAUGGUUCGAAAUUGAAAGGCGGCUUCGGCUGUCACUUAUGGAUGGACCCGCGUCGCAUUAGCUAGUUGGUGAGGUAACGGCUCACCAAGGCAACGAUGCGUAGCCGACCUGGGAGGGUGAGCGGCCACACUGGGACGGAGACACGGCCCAGACUCCUACGGGGGGCAGCAGUAGGGAAUUUUCCGCAAUGGACGAAAGUCUGACGGAGCAACGCCGCGUGAGUGAUGAAGGCUUUCGGGUCGUAAAACUCUGUUGUUAGGGAAGAACAAGUGCUAGUUGAAUAAGCUGGCACCUUGACGGUACCUAACCAGAAAGCCACGGCUAACUACGUGCCAGCAGCCGCCGUAACAC
rnacentral:rRNA from 1 species